UCACCAGUGAAUCGAAGAACACCUUGCAACUGUCUCAUAAACAGUGGUCUUCUAUCCUCCACUUCCUUUUCUCUGGUCGGCAGAUCUAUGACCACUAGAACUGUCAUCGCUGCUGCACUUGAUCUCUAAAUCGGAGUGUACUGACUCCGCACUCCCCAUUAGAGUUGCAAAUGCCUUUUGUUUUUCAAUUUUGGUAUGCUGUGCGGCUGCUUUCUUACCCUUCGUGCCCCUCUUUGCCUAGCUACGUUGAAAGAAUAUAUCUCGCCCUCCUAACCAAAUCGAUCAGAUAGUGUAAUAGCCUCGUCUAAGCAUCUCUCGAUCACAUCUCUGAGAAGAUGUCUCGGACAAGGAGUCAUAUAGUGACUGGCUCCCUAUAGCUCUGACUGAUCAGCUGAGAGAACGCGUAGAAUAUUGCACUCAGCCCAUUACCCUGCAUCGACCCUAGCCUCACUGGCUAAGAAACUAGCCGGUCGUGGAGGCAAUCCUCGUUCAUCAAGCUCCAGCUCCUAUUACUGGCCCACAAGCCAUUCGAUCAUAGGAUCAUCCUCAUCAUCAAAGAAAGCACUAUGGACGGAAUCUGUAUAUUUGAGUUCUACUUCCUUCUGAUGCACUUCAGCCUCAAUCCCAAAUUGUAGAGAAUAUAUACAAGGUCGUGGAGGCACUUCUGUGUCAAACGGUUUCUUUGCUUGCUGUGGAUGAGGGCGAAGGUGGACUAAUUGCGCUUACAGCCACUCGAGGAGACCGUCUAGGAGAGAAUGCAGAUAGCUAGCCGCUUAAGAUUUCUCACGGACAGCCCAAAAUGAAUCCACCAUUUAGCUGCAAAAUAUUGAAGAAAAUUACAUAUAAGAUAAUACCAUAUUAGUAACCAUCUAAUGCUAGGUAAAUGUUUUCCUAAUGUGUAACAUAUAUGGAUUCAUACUUUUCUUACUUACGCUAGCUGCCGAUACACUAAAACUGUUGCUUUCCUCUCUAAAUAUUUUAGUUUGUGAAAAGAACCACCUUGUAUUAUGUUAAUAAUAGAAGAUAUCAGUUAAUUACAUAUAUUACUUAAAUUAACUUACCUCUUCCAGACAUAAGAUCGCAACUUCUGGAUCUAGGUCCAUCUUGAAAAUCACAUUACAGAGAGCGGCCAGAAGUUUGUCAUCCAUAUCGAUUCCAAAUACAAUGUACUGGAACAGACAGUUCGGAUAGUAUGUUGUACAUAGAGUUGGUUAUUGUCUUAGUAAAAUUAAACAAGUAUAGGAGCAGUCUAAUUUUUAAUAUUCAUGCUUACUAGAUACAAAUCCCUA
rnacentral:lncRNA from 1 species